rnacentral:rRNA from 1 species
CCUACGGGAGGCAGCAGUGGGGAAUAUUGCACAAUGGGGGAAACCCUGAUGCAGCGACGCCGCGUGAAGGACGAAGGUCUUCGGAUCGUAAACUUCUAUCAGCAGGGAAGAAGACGUGACUGUACCUGACUAAGAAGCCCCGGCUAACUACGUGCCAGCAGCCGCGGUAAU